CCCAUAUUAUGCUUUUUCUGGUUUUAUAUGCUCUUUAGUUGUGUUUUCCAAGUGUCCUGUGCAUGUUUAGGAACAUCUAUGUGCAAACAUUCAAAGUCCGCGGAAACGCGGCUUCUCCUACGUCCUCCUGUUAGCUGUAGCAUUAGCUGCAUGUAACGCUCGGUUCUAGCCCCCCUUGAUAAAAUGUUGUGAGAUCACUGAUCUAAGUCCAUUGGCUCGUUGUGGCAAGCCCUGCAGCUCAUGCUGAAAUUUCCGAGACGCGUGCUGAGCAACUGACCAAUAACGACAGAGCGGAUCGGCAGACCAAUCAGAG